CAGCCGCCGCGGUAAAACGAAGGGGGCUAGCGUUGUUCGGAAUCACUGGGCGUAAAGCGCACGUAGGCGGACACUUAAGUCAGAGGUGAAAUCCCAAGGCUCAACCUUGGAACUGCCUUUGAUACUGGGUGUCUUGAGUUCGGGAGAGGUGAGUGGAACUGCGUGUGUAGAGGUGAAAUUCGUAGAUAUUCGCAAGAACACCGGUGGCGAAGGCGGCUCACUGGCCCGAUACUGACGCUGAGGCACGAAAGCGUGGGGAGCAAACAGGAUUAGAGACCCCAGUAGUCCCUGUCUCUUAUAC
rnacentral:rRNA from 1 species